AUUAUAUCUAUAUUUAUUUAAAAUAAAUAUGUAUAUAAAUUUUUGUAUAUUACUAACAUCAGAAUUCAUUUUUGUAUUCACCAAACGAAAUGGGUAUGAAUAUAAAUAUAUUAGCAUACGAUUCUUAUAUUAUCCAAUAUCAAUUCGAGAGGAAGAGAUGGGAAUGAGCUUUCAACUUCUCUGUUGCAAUUAAGGGCGGC
rnacentral:lncRNA from 1 species